AGAGCGAACGCUGGCGGCAGGCCUAACACAUGCAAGUCGAGCGCCCGUAGCAAUACGGGAGCGGCAGACGGGAUAGUAACACGUGGGAACGCGCCCUUCGGUUCGGAAUAGCUCAGGGAAACUUGAGCUAAUACCGGAUACGCCCUUACGGGGAAAGAUUUAUUGCCGAAGGAACGGCCCGCGUCCGAUUAGCUAGUUGGUGAGGUAAUGGCUCACCAAGGCGACGAUCGGUAGCUGGUCUGAGAGGAUGACCAGCAUCACUGGGACUGAGACACGGCCCAGACUCCUACGGGAGGCAGCAGUGGGAAUAUUGGACAAUGGGCGCAAGCCUGAUCCAGCCAUGCCGCGUGGAUGAUGAAGGCCUUAGGGUUGUAAAGUCCUUUUAACGGGGAAGAUAAUGACGGUACCCGUAGAAUAAGCCCCGGCUAACUUCGUGCCAGCAGCCGC
rnacentral:rRNA from 1 species